rnacentral:rRNA from 1 species
AUUGAACGCUGGCGGCAGGCCUAACACAUGCAAGUCGAGCGAGCGGCGGACGGGUGUGUAAUGUCUGGGAAACUGCCGGAUGGAGGGGGAUAACAACUGGAAACGGUAGCUAAUACAGCAUACCAUCGGAUGUGCCCAGAUGGGAUUAGCUAGUAGGUGGGGUAAAGGCUCACCUAGGCGUCGAUCCCUAGCUGGUCUGAGAGGAUGACCAGCCACACUGUAACUUAGACACGUUCCAGACUCCUACGGGAGGCAGCAGUGGGGAAUAUUGCACCAUGGGCGCAAGCCUGAUGCAGCCAUGCCGCGUGUAUGAAGAAGGCCUUCGGGUUGUAAAGUACAUUCAGCGGGGAGGCGUUACCCGCAGAAGAAGCACCGGCUAACUCCGUGCCAGCAGCCGCGGUAAUAC